GGUCCUAUGUGUCCACCCCUUCAAAUUCGUCAUUGUCCUCCGGCGCCAGCGCGCUCAGCCGAGUCCAUAGCCUCAUCGAGCGGGAGCGCCGAGUCGAUGGGGAGCACUCCAUCGCCGCGCACGUAGCCAUCGGCGUACCAGGUCUAGUGUAUGGGGCUUGGUAUCUUUCUAGAAGCCACGCCACCACCGUCUGCGACCACAGCCACAAGGUGCAGGGAUGUGGAGCAGGAGUACUACAAGGCAGUGGCGUCGGCGAGGUCGAGAUCAUUGUCAAUGGCGGCAGUGCUGGCUUCACAGGGCAAGGGAGUGCUGCGGAACCAUAAGCCUCGCGCUCACCUUCGAUUAGCGAGAUAGCGUGAGAUGAAGUUGAUCAUGAGGUGUGGAGCAUAGGGAUGGUGGUCGAUGGCUGAGGCGAAGGUCAUGCGGGCUCAUGCUGAUGGACCGAAAGCGGUGAAGGGCGAGUGUCGGGUCUUGACUGAUGGAUCGGAGUAGCCGGGUGACCAGACGCGGUAGCUGACACCUGGGACACGCACUCGUGCGAGGACGUGGUGGAGUGGACUGUAUUGCCGGCGUGGUCAAGGACUGGCGAGACACAUGUCUGGUCGUGGAGGACGCGCACGAGGUGCGUUACUCAUGGCAGGUUUGGUGGUUUGGACCUGGAAACCACACAGCGCUACGGAUGGCGGGUUUUGCUGAGUUUGGGCCUCAAAACUCAGCGGCAGAGGUUUUAGAGGGAACUGGUGGUGACACGUGGCGUGAUCGCGGAGGGUGCGUAAAGGCGAAGCGACUCCAUGUGAAGGAUGUGGCCCUCGAAUCGAAAACCUAGGAGUUGGUCCAUUUCGUGCCCGGUGGAGUGGAUAGGCUCUAUGUAAAUAGCAGUAGUUUAGGAAAUGACAAUAACCCUCUAUAAAUAGAGAGAAUGGCUAGUUCGUCUAGCAUCUCUUGAGUGCUAUUUGUUUAGAGCACUCAUUCUAGAGCUCUUAGUUUUCUCUCUAGGUAGACUCCAGUUGAGCCGAGAGGUCCACAACGAUUUUGUACUUGGACUGUGUUCUUGAUCUUCAAGUUUAAUCAGAGGAAGGGUUGUCAGUCCGGCCCAUAACGUUCUUUGGCUUCAAUCUCAGUUUUGUAUACUUGCUGAAA